AUUAAACAAACAAAAAACAAAUGCCUUUGCGCAGCAGGGGGUCAUGAUAGCCGUCAGAAGAGCGAAAGGUUGGAUCCCGCUGCAAAAUAACAAAAGUCUCAGAUCCAAUGUAGCAAUCUCUUAUCAUUAAAAUAGAGAACCCCCUCCAGAGCAGAGCUGCUAAAAUGCCGGGAGUGGCAAAGAGAUGGACACCGAGUUAAUUGCCUGUGGCAAGUGUCUUCAGAUCUCUGAGACAGGUGACGGAGGGACACUCUAGAGGACAGAGGAGAUCUCCAAAGACAGCCGAUGUCGCAAGAGAGGAGAAUAGUGACAGUGGUUCCAAAGAAUAAAGUUGUAUAUACUCUGAAGAUCCUCGGUAAUUGCACUGCAAUAUGAGCAAGAGAGAGAACGAGUGGCACACCCAAUGUGAGCUAGCAGGAAUAACUACAGAUUUCAUGGUUGUGACAUCACCACCGGGGUCAUUAAGUAAGAUAUGACAACUACAAGCCCCAAAAUUCACCAGUUCCAUUCUCCAGAAGCUUACUGCAUAAUUUAGACAGAGAUCACAACAAAUAAUGAAGGCCGACUACGAUCUUCCAGAAGAACAUUCAAUAUUGAUCUGAAGACAUCAAGAGAUGGAGAAUCCACCCUUCCCUUGGUAGUUUGUUCCAGGAGUUAAUCACCCUCACUGUUAAAAGAGUUUUUUCAGAGGGUGCGAGAAGUCUAGUUCUAUAGUUACUGGGAUUAUGGCAAUGUUCAUCUACUUAUAUGGUAUGCAAAAAAGAAACAAUCUUCAAACUAUGAAAGGAAUGCUGUCAGGGGGACAAAUUCUUAAAUUACUAAUCAGUUUUUACUCAUUCCAAACACAGAGUGUAUAAUCCCAACCCAUUGCAGACAAUGCUAGUUUUGCAAUUGACUUCAGUGGGGCCAGGAUUUCACUUGAGUAGGUUUUUUAUGCAGCAUAAAAACAACAUGGUUUUAUUGAGUUUAGUUCCUAGUUGUUAGCAUACUCAUCCUCUAAAGUAGCACAAAUUCUACACGAGAUGCUUCAUGUUGCUGUAUUUUACAAAGUAAUAGACAAUCCUUUAAAACAUAAAAUUAACAAUCUUGCAUGGAUGACUUUAAUUAGAUAUUCCUGGUAUAAAACAACCAUUAUGUACAUUUUAUGGUUAUUAAAUUUAUUAGACAUAAAGAUGCACUGGUUGCAACAUUUAUUUGUAUGAUUUUGGUAUGGAGCUUAUAUACAGCUUAUAUCUGUAAUUUAACUUUCCAAUACUCAUUGUAAAAUAAUUUCACAUUUCUAAUUUCUUAUGUUUGUUGCACUGUACUCUGAAAAACAAAAUAUAUAGAAUACAGUUUGUAUUUUAAAAGGAGCAAGAUUGUUGAUGUUAUAGAUGUGUUGUGUAUUCUAGGCCAUUACCCUCUCCGUAUUCAAGCUCACUACUUUCAUGAUGCCCAUAAAAAGUGAACAAACACAACAAUCUUGUAACUCAAAGCUAAUCCUUCUUCUAGGCUUUCCAGGAGUCCAGGACAUCCUUCUUCUCCAUUUUGUCUCUUAGGAUCCAUGUUUAUUCUCCUCAGUA